CACCGCGGUUAUACGAGAGGCCCAAAUUGAUAGGUACGGCGUAAAGGGUGGUUAAAAUCUUAUUAACCUAGGGCCGAACUCGUCCCCGACUGUUAUACGUUACGGAAUGAAGAAGUACUAAAACGAAAGUAGCUCUAAAUAUUUGAAUCCACGAAAGCUAGGAAA
rnacentral:rRNA from 1 species